rnacentral:rRNA from 1 species
AUUGAACGCUGGCGGCAGGCUUAACACAUGCAAGUCGAGCGGGGUGAUGGUGCUUGCACUAUCACUUAGCGGCGGACGGGUGAGUAAUGCUUAGGAAUCUGCCUAUUAGUGGGGGACAACAUCUCGAAAGGGAUGCUAAUACCGCAUACGUCCUACGGGAGAAAGCAGGGGAUCACUUGUGACCUUGCGCUAAUAGAUGAGCCUAAGUCGGAUUAGCUAGUUGGUGGGGUAAAGGCCUACCAAGGCGACGAUCUGUAGCGGGGCUGAGAGGAUGGUCCGCCACACUGGGACUGAGACACGGCCCAGACUCCUACGGGAGGCAGCAGUGGGGAAUAUUGGACAAUGGGGGGAACCCUGAUCCAGCCAUGCCGCGUGUGUGAAGAAGGCCUUAUGGUUGUAAAGCACUUUAAGCGAGGAGGAGGCUCUUUUGGUUAAUACCCAAGAUGAGUGGACGUUACUCGCAGAAUAAGCACCGGCUAACUCUGUGCCAGCAGCCGCAGUAA